rnacentral:rRNA from 1 species
GACGUAGGGCGCGAGCGUUGUCCGGAUUUAUUGGGCGUAAAGAGCUCGUAGGCGGCUUGUCGCGUCGAAUGUGAAAACUCGGGGCUCAACUCCGAGCUUGCAUUCGAUACGGGCAGGCUAGAGUUCGGUAGGGGAGACUGGAAUUCCUGGUGUAGCGGUGAAAUGCGCAGAUAUCAGGAGGAACACCGGUGGCGAAGGCGGGUCUCUGGGCCGAUACUGACGCUGAGGAGCGAAAGCGUGGGGAGCGAACAGG